rnacentral:rRNA from 1 species
AAGGGCAUUGGCUACACCCUGAAUGCACCCGAUCUCCUCUGAUCUCAGAAGCUAAGCAGGGUCGAGCCUGGUUAGUACGUGGAUGGGGGAAAGGGCAUUGACAGAGUUUCUGGUAGUAUGCUUUCU